rnacentral:rRNA from 1 species
CCUACGGGAGGCAGCAGUGAGGAAUCUUGGACAAUGGGGGAAACCCUGAUCCAGCGACGCCGCGUGAAGGAUGAAGGUCUUCGGAUUGUAAACUUCUUUUGUUCGGGAAUAAAAAAUCUGUGGAAACACGGAGAUUGACGGUACCUAAUGAAUAGCACCGGCUAACUCCGUGCCAGCAGCCGCGGUAAUACGGAGGGUGCAAGCGUUACUCGGAAUCACUGGGCGUAAAGGGUGCGUAGGCUGGCUUCUAAGUCAGAUGUGAAAUCCAAUGGCUCAACCAUUGAACUGCAUUUGAAACUGGGAGCCUAGAGUUCAGAAGGGGCAGAUGGAAUUAGUGGUGUAGGGGUAAAAUCCGUAGAUAUCACUAGGAAUAUCAAAAGCGAAGGCGAUCUGCUGGGAUGAUACUGACGCUGAGGCACGAAAGCGUGGGGAGCAAACAGGAUUAGAUACCCGGGUANUC